UUAUAUUUUAAGGAAAAUUAAAUAAUAAUUAAAAUUAGAUAUUUUACUAAAAAUUAUAUAUUUUAAAGAUUUUUUAUAUCUAUUAAUUUUUA
rnacentral:miRNA from 1 species